rnacentral:rRNA from 1 species
GAUCAUGGCUCAGGAUGAACGCUAGCUACAGGCUUAACACAUGCAAGUCGAGGGGCAGCAUGAACUUAGCUUGCUAAGUUUGAUGGCGACCGGCGCACGGGUGAGUAACACGUAUCCAACCUUCCGUUUACUCAGGGAUAGCCUUUCGAAAGAAAGAUUAAUACCUGAUAGUAUGGUGAGAUUGCAUGAUAGCACCAUUAAAGAAUUUAUUGGUAACGAAUGGGGAGUGCGUUCCU